rnacentral:rRNA from 1 species
UACGAAGGGUGCAAGCGUUACUCGGAAUUACUGGGCGUAAAGCGUGCGUAGGUGGUUUGUUAAGUCUGUUGUGAAAGCCCCGGGCUCAACCUGGGAAUGGCAAUGGAUACUGGCAGGCUAGAGUGCGGUAGAGGGUAGUGGAAUUCCCGGUGUAGCGGUGAAAUGCGUAGAGAUCGGGAGGAACACCAGUGGCGAAGGCGGGUCUCUGGGCAUUACCUGACGCUGAGGAGCGAAAGUGUGGGGAGCGAACAGG